rnacentral:lncRNA from 1 species
UACCUAGAAAAAGAGCACAUAUCACAAUGACUGCAAUAAAUUAAGGUUCAAGGUGCUGAACUUCCUACUAAGCAACAGUUUCAUUGCAGGAAGUUUACUCAUUGAAGGAAGAUAUCCAGUGCUCUGAAUCCUGCCUGUUUGAGAACCAGGCAGUAGUCCGGGGAGUCCUCCAGGUGCACCAGCUCCCGGGUAGAGAUGGAGCGAAAGGUGUCGGCGAUGGCGCCGCGGCCGGCCGCGCUGUUGCCAGCACCCUGCAGCAGGUCCACCUUGAGUGCUGCGUGGUACUUCUCCUUCAGGUGCGCGCCCACCUCGCGGAACUCGGGC